rnacentral:lncRNA from 1 species
CAAAGUGAAAACCUGUCUGUGUUUGUCUCCACCCUUUACAACGAAUACAUCACACUUGCAUUUGACUACUUUGCAGACCCCAUAGUUGAGAUCUCUACUUAUUUCCAUCAAAUUGGAGUCAAUGGAACCAUAACAGAGUACCCGAGAACUGCAAGCAAAUAUAUGAGUAAGCAUUCAAUGCAAAAGCUUCUUCCAUUUCUCAGAAAGAAGACAAAGUGACCUUUGAAAAAGAAGUGUUCUAAUCAUUUGCCUGUUCUUUAUUUCAUUGCUCCAGAAAACCCAUGCUCGGAUCUAAACAAUCAGCAGCUAACUCAUGUUGUCUUGCCAAUCGUACCUGGUUCUCUACUCAACUUCAGCGGACUGGAACUACCACCCCCAAGUCAUCCGAGACCAUCUCUAGCUGUUAAAGAUAUAGGCGAUCCACCACUGCCUGCAGUGACUAAAGUUGAAAAUCCUCCAGCGGCCGGUCCUCCGUCUUCG